AAGAACUUUCUAUUUUUCUGUUUGGCCUUCUUAACACAAGGCUUUCAAACUCAAUGUUCCUUCAUGGUCACAAGAUGGCUGCUAGGUCUCUAGCCAUCACAACCACCUUCCAGCCAGGACAAAGAGGAAGGUGAGAAGGGCAAAAAGCUAUGCUUUCCACCUGAGUCAGCCUCCUUUAGGAAAAGUUCCCAGACACUCACUUCUUCCACUUAUAUUUCACUGGCUGUCCCUAGCUACAAGGGAAAUAUUUUGUUGUCUCAAAUACAUUGAAUAUAUUGCCUUUACGUCAUCACUUUUGGUUGCUCUACAGUAUACAUUACUUACUUUCUGGUUCUCAAUUAUAUUCUAGUUAGGUGGAAUAUGACUCAAUAUUUAAAAUAAAUAUAAGUGUUUUGAUUUUCAUGGCCCUUGGCUACUGUCAAAGAUAAAUCAAUAGCUAUACAAUGGAUAAAACAUUAAGCAUCAAAAUCCUAUCCAGGGAGCACUGUGGAAGUGGCAAAACUAACUCCCACAAUUGCAGUUAAUUCAGUUCCAUGUUUACUGAACAGCUUUAGUGCCGGCUAGACGCAGUCGCCUGUGGUGGGCAGUGGGGACAAUCGGGACGGCCCUGUCCUUGAGGAGGUCCAGCUUCCGUGACUCACAGUUUGAUGCCUACCCACUAGAAGUCCUGGGCGAGCGGUGGUGACUUUCUGGGCUCCAGAGUCUGUGCCAUCUUCAUUCAUUCGUCCUCCACGCAUUUCCUGAGCUCCUCCUGCUCCGGGCUGGGGUUCCACAGGUGAAUCAGACUCGACUCUUACCCUCAACACAGGGACAAGCAUCACAGAAGUGAGACAGCAAAUGACUGCUCGUUUCCUGCAACUGUGUGUGCUCAUCCUGGCCUGGACUCCUAUAGACGCUUAGACUCCUCACCUCAGGGACAGCCAGCAGGACUCAGUCCCACCAGAGGGUAACCACGGGCACAAGCUGCUGAAUCCAGCUGGACUUCUCAGCAGCACGGACAUGCUUGAUCCCUCUCCCUUUGAAAUGCU
rnacentral:lncRNA from 1 species